GCUAGUAAUCGCGGAUCAGCAUGCCGCGGUGAAUACGUUCCCGGGCCUUGUACACACCGCCCGUCACACCAUGAGAGUCGGGGACACCCGAAGUCCGUAGUCUAACCGCAAGGGGGACGCGGCCGAAGGUGGAUUCGAUAAUUGGGGUGAAGUCGUAACAAGGUACC
rnacentral:rRNA from 1 species